GAUGAACGCUAGCGGCAGGCCUAAUACAUGCAAGUCGAACGGUGUAGCAAUACACAGUGGCGCACGGGUGCGUAACACGUAUGCAACCUACCUUACAUUGGGGGAUAGCCUUUCGAAAGGGAGAUUAAUACCGCAUAAGACAGUAACUAGGCAUCUAGUAGCUGUUAAAGAUUUAUCGAUGUAAGCUGGGCAUGCGUCCAAUUAGUUAGUUGGCGAGGUAAUGGCUCACCAAGACGAUGAUUGGUAGGGGAACUGAGAGGUCAAUCCCCCACACGGGCACUGAGAUACGGGCCAGACUCCUCCGGGAGGCAGCAGUAGGGAAUAUUGGGCAAUGGGCGCAAGCCUGACCCAGCCAUGCCGCGUGCAGGAAGAAGGCGUUAUGCGUUGUAAACUGCUUUUAUACAGGAAGAAACGACCCUUGCGAGGGGCAUUGACGGUACUGUAUGAAUAAGCACCGGCUAACUCCGUGCCAGCCGCCGCCGUAACAC
rnacentral:rRNA from 1 species